GAUCAUGGCUCAGGAUGAACACUGGCGGCGUGCUUAACACAUGCAAGUCGAACGGGAAUUACUUUAUUGAAACUUCGGUCGAUUUAAUUUAAUUCUAGUGGCGGACGGGUGAGUAACGCGUGGGUAACCUGCCUUAUACAGGGGGAUAACAGUCAGAAAUGGCUGCUAAUACCGCAUAAGCGCACAGAGCUGCAUGGCUCAGUGUGAAAAACUCCGGUGGUAUAAGAUGGGCCCGCGUUGGA
rnacentral:rRNA from 1 species